rnacentral:rRNA from 1 species
UUCCAGACUCCUACGGGAGGCAGCAGUGGGGAAUAUUGCACAAUGGGGGAAACCCUGAUGCAGCGACGCCGCGUGAGCGAUGAAGUAUUUCGGUAUGUAAAGCUCUAUCAGCAGGGAAGAAGAUGACGGUACCUGACUAAGAAGCCCCGGCUAACUACGUGCCAGCAGCCGCGGUAAUACGUAGGGGGCAAGCGUUAUCCGGAUUUACUGGGUGUAAAGGGAGCGUAGACGGCGAUGCAAGCCAGAUGUGAAAGCCCGGGGCUCAACCCCGGGACUGCAUUUGGAACUGUGUGGCUGGAGUGUCGGAGAGGCAGGCGGAAUUCCUAGUGUAGCGGUGAAAUGCGUAGAUAUUAGGAGGAACACCAGUGGCGAAGGCGGCCUGCUGGACGAUGACUGGCGUUGAGGCUCGAAAGCGUGGGGAGCAAACAGGAUUAGAUACCCGGGUAA